rnacentral:rRNA from 1 species
AGAGUUUGAUCCUGGCUCAGGACGAACGCUGGCGGCGUGCUUAACACAUGCAAGUCGAGCGAGGCCCUUCCUUCGGGAAGGUGCCCUAGCGGCGAACGGGUGAGUAACACGUGGGCAACCUGCCCCUAGCACUGGGAUAACUCCGGGAAACCGGGGCUAAUACCGGAUAUGACCUCUGAAGGCAUCUUCGGAGGUGUAAA